CAAUAGCGUAUAUUAAAGUUGUUGCAGUUAGAACGCUCGUAGUCGGAUUUCGGGGCGGGCCGACCGGUCUGCCGAUGGGUAUGCACUGGUCGGCGCGUCCUUCCUUCCGGAGACCGUCCCUACUCUUAACUGAGCGGGGGCGGGAGACGGGACUUUUACUUUGAAAAAAUCAGAGUGUUUCAAGCAGGCAGCUCGCUCUUGCAUGGAUUAGCAUGGGAUAAUGAAAUAGGACUUUGGUGCUAUUUUGUUGGCUUCGAACACCGAAGUAAUGAUGAGAAGGGACAGUCAGGGGCACUCGUAUUCCGCCGAGAGAGGUGAAAUUCUCAGACCAGCGGAAGACGAACCACUGCGAAAGCAUUUGCCAGGGAUGUUUUCACUGA
rnacentral:rRNA from 1 species